CUGUGGUUUGUUUUGGAGAAGGCUGUCAUAAAGCAUUGAUGGGCUGCCCGGGAAAUUCAAAGAAUCUGUACUUUUGAAGAUGUACAAACUGCCUUUAAAAAUGGGGUAGGUUCCAGUUUGAGUGCAUCCAGGUGACUAGCACGGCCUCUUGGAACAUUUCCAGAGUGAAGUAUGUUCUCCCUCUCCUGGAAGAGCCGACUCCACGUACCUUUCCCACCCAGACCUUCCUUUCACCUGAAAUGGACAUGAAACAGGGUGACAUCCAUUCUUCUCUAGGCCCCACGAACAAGAGCAGUGGUAACAAACUGUUGCUGAGAAAAAAUUGCCCUGAGCCCCGAUGCAGACACUGGGGAGCAGAGAGUGUAAUCACUCACCUAAGGAUAGAUAGCAGAUCGUCACUGUGUAGAAGUGAUCACAGCCAAAUGGAGAUUGCUUAUCCGAAAUAUGAGAAGAUGCUGCAGAAUUAUGUGGCAUAUGUGAUCAACAUAAAGCCAGAAACAGAAAAAGAGGAGAUAAACAACCAAGAGAGGAUGGAGAGCAAGAAAACAGAAAUUUCCGGAAGAAAUUGAUAAAUGAAAUGCACAGUGACAAAACCAGAAAUGAUUUACUCUGGGAGACAAUGGAUUCAUACUGUGUUGUCUAUUACAAACAGGACACAAACAGUAGCUCCCAGUCCCAAGCGCUGCUUCAUUUUGGCUCUUGUAGGGCCCCUGGCCCCCCAGUUGGUAAAUUUGCUCGCAUCUAACACCCUCUCUACUGGCCUGCUGUUGGAGCCCAGGUUUCUGAAGCUUUGAAUAAUUGCUUCCAGCAGAAGGACAGGAUCAUGGGGUACAAGGUGCCAGGACACUGUACCAACAGCAAUCUCAGAAGAACUGGUGACAUAAUGACUUGGUAAAAUGAAGACUCAAAUGCAGAGAAAGAGCAACUAGAUGAGAGGAGAAAAAGAAAGGGAAAUGGGUAAAUAAGAAGAAAAAAAACUUUGAGGUGUGAACGUCUUAGGGAUACAAAUAGAUGGACUUGCAGUGAAAUUAACUAAUGCCACUGGAUUGGAGUGUCACAUCAAGAUCUGCACCUCUUCUGGAAAACGAAGUUCUCAGCACAGCCGGGCACAGCAGGGUGUUAUUCAAUGAAUAAACGACCACUGGUCUCCCACUGCCUAACUGAA